rnacentral:lncRNA from 1 species
GAAAGAUCCCAACAACCAGCCAUUUCUGGAGACAAAUGGAGUUUCCCAGCAUGUGUGGCUCCUACAGGUCCCUGGAGGCCAGCUGGGCAGAAAACGUGGGAGAAGCCAUGGAGAACCCACUGCUGGGCUGGCUGGCUGCCAACAUUCACUGCAGAAACAACAUGAUGUUUUCUGCCUAAUUAGCAGUGAUAUAAAGAGUGACUGAGAGAAAUGUGAGGGUCUCAGUGUCUGAGAAGGGGUCCCCCACUUGAAUUGGACAGACCCCACUUUCCUCCUUAAAUUCACGUGCUUAUGUG